CAUCACCUCACACCUCUGUCAGCCCCGAGUGAUGCGUUCAAGGUCUGACGUCAUUCCUGCUGCAUUUACUGGACGGCUCUGUCCGUCAAGAUGACAUCAACGCUGCUUCACUUCCCUGAAAGGAGUGAGUCAGCCACUCCCGUCGGCCUGACAGGAGUAGAGGAGAGCGAAAAGAGGAGAGAAGAGAGGAGGAGGAGGGCAAACACAAGGCUGGAGGUGAGAACGAGGAUAUUCAUCUCUGCACAGCCUGAUGUUCAACAUUUUCAUCUUUUAUUCAAGCAGAAACAAGAUAUUUUUUUUCACUGCUUCUUUUGAUUUGGGCUCCUUCUUUUCAACAGAUGACAAGAAUGAAAAUGGGAUUGAUCAAACUGAAAGCCAAUGAGCAAGAAAUCAGAGAGAGACUGACCUCUGACCCCGAAGCCUUUGCAUGGAACCAUGAUAAUAAUGUCAGAGAUUAGAGGAGGGGGG